rnacentral:rRNA from 1 species
GACGAACGCUGGCGGCGUGCUUAACACAUGCAAGUCGAGCGGUAAGGCCCUUUCGGGGGUACACGAGCGGCGAACGGGUGAGUAACACGUGGGUGACCUGCCCUCAGCUCUGGGAUAAGCCUGGGAAACUGGGUCUAAUACUGGAUAUGACUCCACGGUGCAUGUCGUGGGGUGGAAAGCCUUGUGCGGCUGAGGAUGGGCCCGCGGCCUAUCAGCUUGUUGGUGGGGUGANGGCCUACCAAGGCGACGACGGGUAGCCGGCCUGAGAGGGCGACCGGCCACACUGGGACUGAGACGCGGCCCAGACUCCUACGGGAGGCAGCAGUGGGGAAUCUUGCGCAAUGGGCGAAAGCCUGACGCAGCGACGCCGCGUGAGGGAUGACGGCCUCGG